rnacentral:snRNA from 1 species
GUGUUACAUGAAAGAGAAGCCUUGCAUUUCCCCAGACAAGGAUGGAAGAGACCCUCGGGCCUGACAACAUACCUAUGGCCUAGACUUCUCUUU